rnacentral:rRNA from 1 species
CACGUAGGGACCGAGCGUUGUCCGGAUUUAUUGGGCGUAAAGAGCUCGUAGGCGGUUCAGUAAGUCGGGUGUGAAAACUUUGGGCUCAACCCAAAGCCUGCAUCCGAUACUGCUGUGACUAGAGUCCGGUAGGGGAGUGGGGAAUUCCUAGUGUAGCGGUGAAAUGCGCAGAUAUUAGGAGGAACACCGGUGGCGAAGGCGCCACUCUGGGCCGGUACUGACGCUGAGGAGCGAAAGCGUGGGUAGCAAACAGG